CUGGCGGCAUGCUUUACACAUGCAAGUCGAACGGCAGCACGGGUGCUUGCACCUGGUGGCGAGUGGCGGACGGGUGAGUAAUACAUCGGAACGUAUCCAGAAGAGGGGGAUAACGCAUCGAAAGAUGUGCUAAUACCGCAUAUUCUCUGAGGAGGAAAGCAGGGGAUCGCAAGACCUUGCGCUUUUGGAGCGGCUGAUGUCUGAUUAGCUAGUUGGUGGGGUAAAGGCCUACCAAGGCGACGAUCAGUAGUUGGUCUGAGAGGACGACCAGCCACACUGGGACUGAGACACGGCCCAGACUCCUACGGGAGGCAGCAGUGGGGAAUUUUGGACAAUGGGCGCAAGCCUGAUCCAGCAAUGCCGCGUGAGUGAAGAAGGCCUUCGGGUUGUAAAGCUCUUUCAGUCGAGAAGAAAAGGCUGUGGUAAAUAAUCACAGUUCAUGACGGUAUCGACAGAAGAAGCACCGGCUAACUACGUG
rnacentral:rRNA from 1 species